GAGCAAACCAAGACAAAGGCAGCAAGUCCCUGGCCCUAUUCUGGGGUGGUGAAAGAUCCAAACACUGGUAUCCUGAUGGGCAUAAUGUGAUCAUCAUUUACAUGAUCCAAAUAAGGAUGAUAAUAAAAAGGAAUUAGAUCGAAACACCAGCUAAAGAGUCCUUCGGUUUUUCUCUGCUUGGGUCCACACAAGUUAACUCUGUCCUACUCAGCUGAUCUGGAUACACGCCCAGUCCUU